UACAGAGGGGGCAAGCGUUAUUCGGAAUUAUUGGGCGUAAAGGGCACGUAGGCGGCCUUCUAAGUCGAACGUGAAAUCCCCGGGCUCAACCCGGGAACUGCGUCCGAUACUGGAAGGCUUGAAUCCGGGAGAGGGAUGCGGAAUUCCAGGUGUAGCGGUGAAAUGCGUAGAUAUCUGGAGGAAUACCGGUGGCGAAGGCGGCAUCCUGGACCGGCAUUGACGCUGAGGAGCGAAAGCCAGGGGAGCAAACGGG
rnacentral:rRNA from 1 species